AUACGGAGGGUGCAAGCGUUGUCCGGAUUUAUUGGGUUUAAAGGGUGCGUAGGUGGCGUGUUAAGUCAGUGGUGAAAGCCUGCAGCUCAACUGUAGAGGUGCCAUUGAUACUGACAUGCUUGAGUAUGGACGAGGUAGGCGGAAUUUGUGGUGUAGCGGUGAAAUGCAUAGAUACCACAAAGAACACCGAUAGCGAAGGCAGCUUACUGGAACAUAACUGACACUGAGGCACGAAAGUGUGGGUAGCGAACAGGAUUAGAAACCCUAGUAGUCC
rnacentral:rRNA from 1 species